rnacentral:lncRNA from 1 species
GAACUGUUAUCUUGCACUUUGCCAAGUGAGACUUUUUAAAUUGUUCUCACCAAGUUUCACCAUCAUUUGCUGAAAGAGCAUUUUAUUUGUUUUUAAUUUUUUAUUUUAUUUUUUGAGGAAGAUUAGCUAACAUCUGCCACCAGUCCUCUUUUUGCUGAGGAAGACUGGCCCUGAGCUAACAUCCAUGCCCAUCUUCCUCUACUUUAUAUGUGGCACGCCUGCCACAGCAUGGCUUGCCAAGUGGUGCCAUGUCUGCACCUGGGAUCCGAACUGGUGAAGCCCUGGGCCACCGAAGCAGAAUGUGCGAACUUAAUCGCUGCACCACUGGGCUGGCCCCCAUUUUUUAUUGCAGAAAUUUUUAAACAAACAAAAGUGGAGACAAUUGUAAUGAAGCCCCAGAUACUUGAACCUUGCAUACUUCAGUUUGCAUCCCUAACAUAUAAGGACUUUUCCAUGCUACAAUCUCAGAAAAGGACAACCCCUGAUUAAGCUCAGCUCUGUGAACAACUCCCGUUUUCGUAUUAUUUUUGUAUUUCUUUGGGUCCAAGGUUUGGCAGCCACAGGCUUGGCCAGCACGAUCGGGGUUACGGCACAUAUGUGCAUGCCAAAAGUGAGCAAAGUGGAAUAAAUGCCUAGUUAGCACUUAGAAUUUCCAGCUGGCAUUCCAGGGCAAAACCAAGCAAGGACUCCAGCUUUGAGAAAUGGAUGUUCAGUAGAACAGGCAGUUCAGACAGCUGUGGUGAGAGCUCGCUCAGGGCCACACCGGCAGCUUAGGACGUGGAUGGGGCCUGUCUGGGGCCUGGGGAUGAGAACCUGAAGGCUUUGGAAGGCAAAACAGAUUCCCUUCCUUGCCUAUCCAAACUCAGGCAAGGGAGUCAUAGGGGACAUGGAACAAAGCAGGAAGAAAAGGGACCUCGUUAAUCCCACUUAAUCCAGCUGGCUCCAUGUUUGUCAUAUUUUUAAUGAGACGCAGGAUGCAUACAGCAAAGUAUUGAACAUGUAAGUCUGGAUUAAGGAACAAUGAGACAGUGAACAUCCUCGCAUGAACCACCUGGGUCGAGAAGCAGCACACUGCCAGCACCAGAUCAGCUGUCACGGCCUCAAACUCUUCCUCUCCCAGAGGGACCAGCUCUCAACAUGUGCGUCAUCGCGUUGAUUUUAUUAUCUUACGAUCUGCA